CCUACGGGUGGCAGCAGUGGGGAAUAUUGCGCAAUGGGCGAAAGCCUGACGCAGCGACGCCGCGUGAGGGAUGAAGGUCUUCGGAUCGUAAACCUCUGUCAGCAGGGAAGGAAGGUCAAUGUGCUAAUCAGCAGUGAAUUGACGUACCCUGCAAGGGAAGCACCGGCUAACUCCGUGACAGCAGCCGCGGUAAUACGGAGGGGGCGAGCGUUACUCGGAAUUACUGGGCGUAAAGCGCUAGUAGGCGGGAUGUCAAGUCAAGGGUGAACUCCCCGCGCGCAACGUGGGAACUGCCUGUGACAGUGGGCAACAGGAGUGUGUUAGAGGAUAGUGGAAUGCGAGGUG
rnacentral:rRNA from 1 species